ACGCUCGACACCUACUGGAGGCAGCAGUCGGGAAUAUUGCGCAAUGGAGGAAACUCUGACGCAGUGACGCCGCGUAUAGGAAGAAGGUUUUCGGAUUGUAAACUAUUGUCGUUAGGGAAGAGAAAGGACAGUACCUAAGGAGGAAGCUCCGGCUAACUACGUGCCAACAGCCGCGGUAAUCUGAGCGGGCUGGCAAGGC
rnacentral:rRNA from 1 species